UAUGGCCAUAUCAUAUUGAAAUACCUGUUCUCAAAUGAUCAUUGAGGUUAAGCAAUAUUGAGCCUGGUCAGUACCAAAAUGGGUGACCACUUGGGAAUACCAGGUUCUGUAAG